CUGGCGGCGUGCUUAACACAUGCAAGUCGAACGAACCUUCGGGUUAGUGGCGGACGGGUGAGUAACGCGUGAGAAUCUGCCCUCAGGAGGGGGAUAACAGCUGGAAACGGCUGCUAAUACCCCAUAUGCCGCGAGGUGAAAUGAAUUUCGCCUGAGGAUGAGCUCGCGUCUGAUUAGCUAGUUGGUGUAGGUAAUGGCUCACCAAGGCAUCGAUCAGUAGCUGGUCUGAGAGGAUGAUCAGCCACACUGGGACUGAGACACGGCCCAGACUCCUACGGGAGGCAGCAGUGGGGAAUUUUCCGCAAUGGGCGAAAGCCUGACGGAGCAACGCCGCGUGAGGGAUGAAGGCCUCUGGGCUGUAAACCUCUUUUAUCAAGGAAGAAGAUCUGACGGUACUUGAUGAAUAAGCCACGGC
rnacentral:rRNA from 1 species